AAAAAUUGUUCCUUAUGUUUUUCCUUGGCCUUUCUGGCUUUUGAAAAGUCAUGGCAAAGCAGUUUAUGCCCUGGAGACCCAGAAGUGCUCCCAUAUUCCUGUUGCGGCUGUACUGCUGUCCAGGUGACUCUGACAAGGCACCUUUCUGUUGGCUGCACUGCCUGGCUGCCUCUGCUUCCCUCUCAGCCAUAGCACACCUUUAUUCCUGCUCAUUCGGUGACACUGCUGAAUUUGAUGUGGUUUGCUCAGCACCAGGUGCGACGUGGCAGCACCUCCACAGUGACUGCAGCCACCGGGAGUUCAAACACACCCAUUGGCUUCGCAUUGUCAGUUGCAACAAUUAUUGCAAAUGAACAGACAUCACAAACAAAACAGAAACCCAACCCUGUGAGAACCUACUCACAGAUGGACAAAUUUGUUAUUGUUUUCAUGAUCUUUUGCAAUGUGUUUGCAGGUUUCUACAGCCUUGUUUAAAUUCAAGCAAGGACCUUUUUGCACCAACUUUGCAGGAUUUCAUUUGUGAGUUGCACAUUUAAUUCUCCACAGCAGAUGGUGAUGUGUGGGUGUACUGCUGUAUAUUUGCAACAGAUUCCUUAUCCUACAAAAUUAAUUAAGUGUCUCAUGUGCUGAUUUAAAAUCAGAAUUGCAUUGUUUGUAAAAAAGCUAACUCUUGCAUAUCAUUUUGCUGGGACCGGUGCAACUCAAGCACAGUGUAAGGAAGAGAAGGCUCAGUGCUCCUCUACAGCACACGGCAGCACUGCCAGUCCUGCGUGCAGUCUAAGAG
ensembl:lncRNA